rnacentral:rRNA from 1 species
GCUGGCGGCAGGCUUAACACAUACAAGUCGAGCGGUAGCAGAUCUAGCUUGCUAGAUGCUGACGAGCGGCGGACGGGUGAGUAACGCGUAGGAACCUGCCCAGUAGUGGGGGAUAGCCCGGGGAAACUCGGAUUAAUACCGCAUACGCUCUACGGAGGAAAGAGGGGGCUUCGGCUCUCGCUAUUGGAUGGGCCUGCGUGAGAUUAGCUAGUUGGUGAGGUAAUGGCUCACCAAGGCGACGAUCUCUAGCUGGUCUGAGAGGAUGAUCAGCCACACUGGGACUGAGACACGGCCCAGACUCCUACGGGAGGCAGCAGUGGGGAAUAUUGCACAAUGGGCGCAAGCCUGAUGCAGCCAUGCCGCGUGUGUGAAGAAGGCUUUCGGGUUGUAAAGCACUUUCAGUGGGGAGGAAGGCCUCGUAGUUAAUAGCUGCGAGGAUUGACGUUACCCACAGAAGAAGCACCGGCUAACUCCGUG